CUGAUUCUAUGAUUCAGUGCUGUUGUUUGUUUGUUUGUUUGUUUGCCAUGUCUUCUACAGGACAGAAGCUCAGAUGUGAUUUGCAGAGCUAUCAAAUGAGAACAAAAGAGAUGCACGCAUUCUGAGUGAUGUGGAAGAAAAUAUUCCACAGCUAGAGGAGCUGGUCUGAGGCUGUGAACACGUGUAUGACAGAUCACCUGAAAGACCACAGUCCAAGAAGGUCAGAAAAUCACCCUAGAGCCCUGCUAGGGAACAGCACUUUGCACAUGGUUACAACGUAGACCAGAGAAUGAGGGAUCCAAACAGUUCAUCUCCAUUCCAGCCAGCUGGCUGGGACAUUUCAGCCCCUCUGAAACUCAGCUCACAGCCUCAUAAAACGGUGAUGGCAAUCCUACCUGCCUGCAACACUGGGUCCCCUGCUCUACCCUGAAGGAAAGCAUCUUCCAAGCUGAGCUGAGGUUUUGCCAGCCUUAUGUGACAGAUGAUCCCCACUUCUUCAGCAAGUGUGUUUUCAGCAGUUAGUCACAGUCUGAGGCUCUGCAAGCUGCUUAUUUUCAGGUAGAAAAGAAGAUGGGAAGGGGCUGGGGUGGGGAAUGCUGUUUGUGAGCUGUAGGUGGAGGGUUGGUUCUCAAUCCCUGUUUCCAAGAAGGGUCUGCAGAGAACUGCUUCAGGCUUGAAGGCAACCAGAGACCCUGAAACUGCAUGAGAGACCAUGAGAGGUUUACAGAAACUGGGAGUGAUUGUGUCAGUACCACAGCAACAGCACCAUAUUGUGUGCUUGUAAAAUCUCUGUAUUAAUAACUGAAGUGAGCCUUAGACUGCUCUGUGCUCCUUACAGUCCAGUCUGUGUUUCUUCAGCCUAACAUGAACUCAGAACUUUUCUGCAUCUGCUUAUUCCUUGUCUCCCUCCGUCCUCUUUCCCCUGACCCAUCCAGAGCAGGGCUGUGUUCAGUGUCUCCUUGUUUGGUGAUGGAGGUGGAUGGAUGCUGUGUCCCAU
rnacentral:lncRNA from 1 species